CACACAUCAUAGUUUACCACAGAUCAGACAGUGUUCUUUGAAGUAAACAUUGGGGGAUUGAACUAUCGACCAAACGAAAAUGAAGUACCUCGCUUUGUUGCUGAUGGCCUUGUGUCUGGCGGAGGCAUUCAUUAUCGAGAGCGAAGAAGACCCCGAUCAAGAAAUAGAGGAGCCUGUCGCCACCAUGAACGAUGAACCUGAUCCUACGAUGUUUGACGAGGGGAAAAAGGGUAAC